CCUACGUGAGACAGCAGUGAGGAAUAUUGGUCAAUGGGCGCGAGCCUGAACCAGCCAAGUAGCGUGAAGGAUGACUGCCCUACGGGUUGUAAACUUCUUUUAUAAAGGAAUAAAGUGAGGCACGUGUGCCUUUUUGUAUGUACUUUAUGAAUAAGGAUCGGCUAACUCCGUGCCAGCAGCCGCGGUAAUACGGAGGAUCCGAGCGUUAUACGGAUUUAUUGGGUUUAAAGGGAGCGUAGAUGGGUUGUUAAGUCAGUUGUGAAAGUUUGCGGCUCAACCGUAAAAUUGCAAUUGAUACUGGCAGUCUUGAGUACAGUUGAGGUAGGCGGAAUUCGUGGUGUAGCGGUGAAAUGCUUAGAUAUCACGAAGAACUCCGAUUGCGAAGGCAGCUUACUAAACUGCCACUGACAUUGAUGCUCGAAAGUGUGGGUAUCAAACAGGAGUAGAUACCCCAGUAGUC
rnacentral:rRNA from 1 species